GACGAACGCUGGCGGCGUGCUUAACACAUGCAAGUCGAACGGAAAGGCCCUGCUUUUGUGGGGUGCUCGAGUGGCAAACGGGUGAGUAACACGUGAGUAACCUGCCCUUGACUUUGGGAUAACUUCAGGAAACUGGGGCUAAUACCGGAUAGGAGCUCCUGCUGCAUGGUGGGGGUUGGAAAGUUUCGGCGGUUGGGGAUGGACUCGCGGCUUAUCAGCUUGUUGGUGGGGUAGUGGCUUACCAAGGCUUUGACGGGUAGCCGGCCUGAGAGGGUGACCGGCCACAUUGGGACUGAGAUACGGCCCAGACUCCUACGGGAGGCAGCAGUGGGGAAUAUUGCACAAUGGGCGGAAGCCUGAUGCAGCAACGCCGCGUGCGGGAUGACGGCCUUCGGGUUGUAAACCGCUUUCGCCUGUGACGAAGCGUGAGUGACGGUAAUGGGUAAAGAAGCACCGGCUAACUACGUGCCAGCAGCCGCGGUGAUACGUAGGGUGCGAGCGUUGUCCGGAUUUAUUGGGCGUAAAGGGCUCGUAGGUGGUUGAUCGCGUCGGAAGUGUAAUCUUGGGGCUUAACCCUGAGCGUGCUUUCGAUACGGGUUGACUUGAGGAAGGUAGGGGAGAAUGGAAUUCCUGGUGGAGCGGUGGAAUGCGCAGAUAUCAGGAGGAACACCAGUGGCGAAGGCGGUUCUCUGGGCCUUUCCUGACGCUGAGGAGCGAAAGCGUGGGGAGCGAACAGGCUUAGAUACCCUGGUAGUCCACGCUGUAAACGGUGGGUACUAGAUGUGGGGUCCAUUCCACGGGUUCCGUGCCGUAGCUAACGCUUUAAGUACCCCGCCUGGGGAGUACGGCCGCAAGGCUAAAACUCAAAGGAAUUGACGGGGCCCCGCACAAGCGGCGGAGCAUGCGGAUUAAUUCGAUGCAACGCGUAGAACCUUACCUGGGUUUGACAUGGAUCGGGAGUGCUCAGAGAUGGGUGUGCCUCUUUUGGGGUCGGUUCACAGGUGGUGCAUGGCUGUCGUCAGCUCGUGUCGUGAGAUGUUGGGUUAAGUCCCGCAACGAGCGCAACCCUUGUUCACUGUUGCCAGCACGUUAUGGUGGGGACUCAGUGGAGACCGCCGGGGUCAACUCGGAGGAAGGUGGGGAUGACGUCAAGUCAUCAUGCCCCUUAUGUCCAGGGCUUCACGCAUGCUACAAUGGCUGGUACAGAGAGUGGCGAGCCUGUGAGGGUGAGCGAAUCUCGGAAAGCCGGUCUCAGUUCGGAUUGGGGUCUGCAACUCGACCUCUUGAAGUCGGAGUCGCUAGUAAUCGCAGAUCAGCAACGCUGCGGUGAAUACGUUCCCGGG
rnacentral:rRNA from 1 species